GAUGAACGCUGGCGGCGUGCCUAAUACAUGCAAGUCGAGCGAACAGACGAGGAGCUUGCUCCUCUGACGUUAGCGGGGGACGGGUGAGUAACACGUGGAUAACCUACCUAUAAGACUGGGAUAACUUCGGGAAACCGGAGCUAAUACCGGAUAAUAUAUUCAACCGCAUGGUUCAAUAGUGAAAGACAGUUUUGCUGUCACUUAUAGAUGGAUCCGCGCCGCAUUAGCUAGUUGGUAAGGUAACGGCUUACCAAGGCAACGAUGCGUAGCCGACCUGAGAGGGUGAUCGGCCACACUGGAACUGAGACACGGUCCAGACUCCUACGGGAGGCAGCAGUAGGGAAUCUUCCGCAAUGGGCGAAAGCCUGACGGAGCAACGCCGCGUGAGUGAUGAAGGUCUUCGGAUCGUAAAGCUCUGUUAUUAGGGAAGAACAAAUGUGUAAGUAACUAUGCACGUCUUGACGGUACCUAAACAGAAAGCCACGGCUAACUACGUG
rnacentral:rRNA from 1 species